rnacentral:lncRNA from 1 species
CCCGACCUCCUCUGCUGCUCCUGCCCCUGCUGCUGCCCCAGCUGCUCCUGCUGCCAGUGCCUCUGGCUCUUUGGAUUCCCUGGCUGCCUGGAUCUCCGCCAACUACAUGGGCAUGGGCAAGAGUGCUGCAGAUGUGCUUCCUGAGCUGCGCCGCAAGGGCAUCACCGCCAGCGGAAACAGCUUCAGCAUGGGUGGCCAGCUGAUGAGCGCGCCAGAGAUUGCCAGCGCGCUGCGCCUGCAGGUGGGCGAUGGGAACCAGGCUUGCAAUUUUUCUGAAUUUGAAACGCACCAUCAAAGUGAUCUGCUUUCGGAAAAUCAAGUAAGGCAAAGCGAAGGUUAGGAGAGGGAACCUGGGCCCAAAGGAAUUAAAUGGAAUGCGCAGAGUAAUGAGAGUGAUCUAUUUGGUUCCCUUGCAUAAUGGGUACCAAAAUGCCUGGUCUGGCUCAGGUAUGUCCCAAAGGUCAACUCUGGUAGGUUUUUAGCCCGAUUCAUCCAAGAAGAUAAAAAGAGGGGGAAGGUUUGGUCCUAAGCACUGGGUGCAUGGCCACCUCUUGAGUGCAUCUGCUAGGUAAAAGCAGUUGGUGUGUUGAAACCACCCAAACAGUGUGCUGGCCUCGUCCCAAGGGCAACAACUUUUGCAGCAUGCUCCUCAUGUUAGCCUGUACAGCUUUGGGGCCCAGGUGUACAGGGAAUAAAUCCUGGCAAUGAAUCCUGGCAGACAGGUCAACUGAUCGUUCGACCGAAGCACUUGGCUAUGGUCAGCCCGCCUGAGCGCAUGCUUUGGCUUGCCUGUGAGGGCUCUGAAGGCUUCCUGCGCGUUGGACAGCUGGCUGGACCUUUAGAAUCCAAGUGAUAAAUCACAGCUCAAUUGAUCCAAUUUCAGUUUUUACAUCUUUCUACUGCUGCAAGAUUAUUGCAUCCCUGCGGGAGUGGUGUCUGUGAUUCCAAAGUCCCCAAAAUACCAUGCUCUCUGCCGUUUUGGGUCCCAGGAGCAAUUAUCUGAAUUCCUGCCCCAGCCCUCUGCUCAUCCCCAUCCCCAUGAACAAAUUAUGCUUCAAAAUGUGUUGAAAUCCCAGAAUGUGUUUUUUGAUGGAGUGCCCAGCCAUUGCUAUUGGUCAGGCAAGCCAGGGGGCGACUCUUGAGGACACCACCUUGGCAGACAUUUUGCCUGAUUUCUGGCCCCACACCCGGGACAAACCCCACACAAGCAACUGAGCAAAAGGCUGCUCACAGAGGUCCAGGAAAUGGUCAUGCACACACAGAAUUAGCUGGGGUGGUGAAGCAUCAACUCAAUCAUACUUGGCUGACCUGGUGGGAAGACCUUAUUCCCAGGCAUUGUGUGUGUAUCACUGGCAAAGCACAGCGGGUGCGUUGUUCUGUGCACAUACAUACCAUAUGGUAUGGAAUGUUUCGUGCACACGUAUGGCAUGUUUUGUGCGCAAACAUACCAAGUAUAUCAAUCAGUGAAAAUGAGGAGAGGUCCCAGAGGUAAGAGAAGCAAAAGACCAAAGAUGAGGCAUGGGUUAAUGCAUAGAGGUACACAGGCGCCAAGUUGACCAUGUUUGCUUUUGUGUGAACAAAACAUUUGGAGUGAAGCACACUCAGGAAAGUAGUAGUGACUUCACGCUAAUGUAUUCAGUGAAUAAUGUGCACUCGUGGAGCAGAGGUAUGCACUGCCACGUUUGUUUUUCUCCCUGCUCCUGGAACAAAGCUUGGUGAGUGGUGCAUUGUCUCGUCAAAAAAGGUACAUUUUAUGAGCAUGUCUCUGCCAGCAUUUCUGGGUUCAUGCAGUCUCGGAGCUCAAUGUUGUCCAAUAGGCCUGGUGUCAAGGUGUUCUCCUUGAUUUUGGCCCUGCACAGGCGCGCACCCCCAGCCG